GACGAACGCUGGCGGCGUGCUUAACACAUGCAAGUCGAACGCUGAAGCCCUUUCGGGGGUGGAUGAGUGGCGAACGGGUGAGUAACACGUGGGUAAUCUGCCCUGUACUUCGGGAUAAGCCUUGGAAACGGGGUCUAAUACCGGAUAGGACCUGUCCUCGCAUGGGGGUGGGUGGAAAGUUCCGGCGGUAUGGGAUGAGCCCGCGGCCUAUCAGCUUGUUGGUGGGGUAGUGGCCUACCAAGGCGACGACGGGUAGGCGGCCUGAGAGGGUGACCGGUCAAACUGGGACGGAGACACGGCGCAUACUCCUACGGGAGGCAGCAGUGGGGAAUCUUGCACAAUGGGCGCAAGCCUGAUGCAGCGACGCCGGGUGAGGGAUGACGGCCUUCGGGUUGUAAACCUCUUUCAGCACCGACGAAGCGCAAGUGACGGUAGGUGCAGAAGAAGGACCGGCCAACUACGUGCCAGCCGCCGCGGUAA
rnacentral:rRNA from 1 species